CACGUAGGCACCAAGCGUUGUCCGGAUUUAUUGGGCGUAAAGAGCUCGUAGGCGGUUCGGUAAGUCGGGUGUGAAAACUUUGGGCUUAACCCAAAGCGUGCACUCGAUACUGCCAUGACUAGAGUUCGGUAGGGGAGUGGGGAAUUCCUAGUGUAGCGGUGAAAUGCGCAGAUAUUAGGAGGAACACCGGUGGCGAAGGCGGGUCUCUGGGCCGAUACUGACGCUGAGGAGCGAAAGCGUGGGGAGCGAACAGG
rnacentral:rRNA from 1 species